UUAUGGCCAUAUCACGUUGAAACACCGGUUCUCGUACGAUCACCGAAGUUAAGCAACGUCGAGGCUGAUCAGUAACUAGAUGGGUGACCGCUUUGGAAUACCAAGUAUCGUAAG